GUAGUCCACGCUGUAAACGAUAAUCACUAGAUGUUAGUUCGACUUAGUCGGAUUGGUAUCAAAGCUAACGCGUUAAGUGAUUCGCCUGGGAACUACGAUCGCAAGAUUAAAACUCAAAGGAAUUGACGGGGGUCCGCACAAGCGGUGGAACAUGUGGUUUAAUUCGACACUACGCGAGGAACCUUACCUGGACUUGACAUGCCUCUGACAGUCGUAGAAAUACGAUCUUUCCGGCUUCGGUCGGGACAGUUGCACAGGUGCUGCAUGGCUGUCGUCAGCUCGUGUCGUGAGAUGUUGGGUUAAGUCCUUUAACGAGCGCAACCCUUGCCAUCAGUUGCUAGUCGUAAGACGCACUCUGGUGGGACUGCCUGCGAAAGCAGGAGGAAGGUGGGGAUGACGUCAAGUCAUCAUGGUCCUUAUGUCCAGGGCUACACACGUGUUACAAUGGCCAGUACAACGGGCUGCAAUACCGCAAGGUGGAGCUAAUCCUACAAAACUGGUCUAAGUUCAGAUUGGGGUCUGCAACUCGACCCCAUGAAGUUGAAAUCGCUAGUAAUCGCGUAUCAGCAACGACGCGGUGAAUACGUUCUCGGACCUUGUACACACCGCCCGUCACACCACGAAAAUUGUUUGUACCCAAAGCCAUCUUAGCCAACCUGUAAAGGAGGCGGAUGUCUAAGGUAUGAGGAGUAAUUGGGGUG
rnacentral:rRNA from 1 species